UACGGGGGGGGGCAAGCGUUGUUCGGAAUUACUGGGCGUAAAGGGCUCGUAGGUGGCCAACUAAGUCAGACGUGAAAUCCCCAGGCUUAACCUGGGAACUGCGUCUGAUACUGGAUGGCUAGAGUUUGGGAGAGGGAUGCGGAAUUCCCGGUGUAGCGGUGAAAUGCGCAGAUAUCGGGAGGAACACCUAUGGCGAAGGCAGCUCGCUGGGACGUUACUGACGCUGAGACGCGAAAGCGUGGGGAGCAAACAGG
rnacentral:rRNA from 1 species